AGGAUGAACGCUGGCGGCGUGCUUAACACAUGCAAGUCGAACGGCGAAACAGGAGCUUGCUCCUGUGGAUCAGUGGCGAACGGGUGAGUAACACGUGAGAAAUCUGCCCUGGACUCUGGGGAUAAGCGUUGGAAACGACGUCUAAUACCGGAUACGAGCUUCAGCCGCAUGGCUAGGAGCUGGAAAGAACUUCGGUCCAGGAUGAUCUCGCGGCCUAUCAGCUAGUGGUGAGGUAACGGCCACAAGGCGACGACGGGUA
rnacentral:rRNA from 1 species